rnacentral:rRNA from 1 species
GUCUACGGCCAUGCUACUCUGAACAAGCCUGAUCCCAUCUGAUCUUGGAAGCUAAGCAGGGUCGAGCCUGGUUAGUACUUGGAUAGGAGACCACCUAAGAAGACCAGGUGUUGUAGGUG